UUCUUUCCCUCUCCCUGAGCUAGACCACGAGCAACUACAGCUCCCCAUUUUGGUUCUUAUCCCCCGAUCAGGGACAUUCUUUCCCUUUCCCAAUUAUGGUUAUGCUCUCCCUGAUCUAGGUUUUCUACACAGAAGAGUUUCAUCAACCUCUCCCCGGCCGAUCUAGGUCAAGAAGACACUGUUGGUGGAGUUCUUCGAUUUCACAGGGACAUAUUUGACAAGGGACCAGAAGCAGCCUUCAUGUUGUACUUCACUAGUUGAUUGGAUGGGGGCAAGGAUUGUUGUUGCAAUAUUGUGGCCUUUGCAUGUGUUGGGAACAAAACUAGUCUAUAGUAAAAUUCACUCUGCUAUUGGAAUAUCAAAGACUUGCAGUUUGUAACUCGGUCAUUGUCUCACUGAGGUUAGUGAGGAGAAGCUCUCAGAAGCAGAGGCCACAAGCCCACAAUUUCAUUGAGAAACGAUGAAAAAAAAAUAAAGGUAAAUACUUCAUUAAAUAUUUAAAUUUUGCUAUUUUGAUAAUUGUAUCAGCAUUAUUCUCAUAAUUGUAGUUGACGCGAGAGAUUUGGGCUUGUUCGAGAUGUCUACGUUCCCAAGCAUUACUACACUGGGGUGAUUACGUAAAUUCAAUGAGAGCAGCACAGGAGUUCAGCUCAAGAAUGUUUGAUUCCAUAAAGAUGGUUUCAACAAUGAAGAAGUCGAUCUUUGAUGAACAAACUAACAAGGCCUUAAGGAAAUUGCAAAAGAAUGCUCAAAAGAAGAAUAAGCAUCAUGAUGUGGUUCGAGCUGAAUGGGCAAAUCAUGUUAUACAGUUCUAACUUUGGUUCUUUUUAAGGUAGAUGAGUAGCACUUGGAACUGCUUUUGUGCUUUAUAUAUAACUGAUGGAAAGUGUUGAUGAACUUAAAUUAUGCAUGCAGUUGCUCUGUCUAGCUACUCUUUCUUUACCUUAUAGGUUUUUGACUUGGUGCACUAGGUAAAUGAUAAGAUGGUUUUUUGGUUCUCUCGAUCAUAAUGUAACUGUUGGCUAGGUUUAGAGUUGGAACUAUGGAUUGUAUUUUGGAUGAUGUUGAUGCAAUUAAUGAAACGUAGCCAUCAUUUUCAAUGCUGAUUUUAGUCCAAUUUUAUGGUUUUGAUGAUUGUAAAUGACUGAUGUUGAAAUGGUUGAAAGGCAACAGA